rnacentral:rRNA from 1 species
UACGUAGGGGGCAAGCGUUGUCCGGAUUUAUUGGGCGUAAAGAGCUCGUAGGCGGCUUGUUGCGUCAGCUGUGAAAACCCGCAGCUCAACUGUGGGCUUGCAGCUGAUACGGGCAGGCUUGAGUUCGGCAGGGAGGAGCUGGAAUUCCUGGUGUAGCGGUGAAAUGCGCAGAUAUCAGGAGGAACACCGGUGGCGAAGGCGGGUCUCUGGGCCGAUACUGACGCUGAGGAGCGAAAGCGUGGGGAGCGAACAGG